rnacentral:rRNA from 1 species
AGGGCGUGUAGUGGAUGCCUUGGCACUGAAAGCCGAUGAAGGACGUGAUAUACUGCGAUAAGUUUCGGGGAGCUGUAUGUAAGUUUUGAUCCGAAAAUUUCCGAAUGGGGAAACCCACCACUUUAUGUGGUACUUUAAACUGAAUACAUAGGUUUAAAGAGACAACCUGGAGAACUGAAACAUCUAAGUAACCAGAGGAAAAGAAAUCAAUUGAGAUUCCGUUAGUAGUGGCGAGCGAACGCGGAAUAGGCCAGUAGUUUUGUUAAAAAAAUUUGAAUAGUUUGGAAAUGCUAACCAUAGAGGGUGAUAGUCCCGUAUGAGUAAUGUUUAACAAAAUUCUUGAGUAAAGCGGGACACGAGAAAUCCUGCUCGAAUAUAGGGGGACCACCCUCUAAGCCUAAAUACUCUUCAGUGACCGAUAGUGAACUAGUACCGUGAGGGAAAGGUGAAAAGAACCCCUAUUAGGGGAGUGAAAUAGAACCUGAAACUGCAUGCCUACAAUCAGUCGAAGCUCUUUUUAGAGUGACGGCGUACCUUUUGUAUAAUGGGUCAGUGACUUAAUUUAUUAAGCAAGCUUAAGCCAUCUAGGUGUAGGCGCAGCGAAAGCAAGUCUUAAUAGGGCGAUUAGUUUAAUGAAUUAGACCCGAAAACGAAUGAGCUUACCAUGAGCAGGUUGAAAGUUGGGUAACACCAACCGGAGGACCGAACCAGUUGACGUUGAAAAGUCUUUGGAUGACUUGUGGUAAGGGGUGAAAGGCCAACCAAAUUCGUAGAUAGCUGGUUUUCCGCGAAAACUAUUUAGGUAGUGCGUUGAAUAAAUAGAUGUUUAGAGGUAGAGCACUAAAUGGGCUAGGGGGAAGAGAUUCUUACCAAACCUAAUAAAACUCCGAAUGCUAGACAUUGUUCUUCGGCAGACAGACUGUGGGUGCUAAGGUCCAUGGUCGAGAGGGAAAGAGCCCAGACCACCAGAUAAGGUCCCAAAAUUAUGAUUAAGUGUGAAAGGAUGUGGAAAUUCCUUAACAGCCGGGAGGUUGGCUUAGAAGCAGCCAUCCUUUAAAGAUAGCGUAACAGCUCACCGGUCUAAUAGAGUUUCUGCGCCGAAGAUGUAACGGGGCUAAAAUCAUAUACCGAAUCUGUGGGUUUAUAAAACUUUCGAGUUUUAUAAGCGGUAGCGGAACGUUCUGUAAGCCUGUGAAGGGAUACCCGUGAGGGAUCCUGGAGGUAUCAGAAGUGCGAAUGCUGACAUAAGUAACGAUAAAAGAAGUGAAAAACUUCUUCGCCGAAAAUCCAAGGGUUUCUGCGCAAGGUUAAUCCGCGCAGAGUUAGUCGGCACCUAAGGCGAGGGCGAAAGCCGUAGUCGAUGGAAACAAGGUUAAUAUUCCUUGACCUGAUGGUAGUGACGGAUUCCGUAAGUUGUGAGUUCUUAAUGGAUUGAACUUGCCGCGAAGGGGUCCCAAGAAAUAGCUCCAUCAUUAAGACCGUACCCGAAACCGACACAGGUAGAUUAAUAGAGUAUAUUUAGGCGCUUGAGAGAAUGAUGUUGAAGGAACUCGGCAAAAUGCUUCCGUAACUUCGGGAUAAGGAAGACCUUUUUGUAGGCAACUAUAGAAGGGUGGCACAAGCCAGGGAGAAGCGACUGUUUAUCAAAAACACAGGGCUCUGCUAACACGUAAGUGGAUGUAUAGGGUCUGACGCCUGCCCGGUGCUGGAAGGUUAAUGCGGUUGGUGCAAGCUAACUUCUGAAGCCCCAGUGAACGGCGGCCGUAACUAUAACGGUCCUAAGGUAGCGAAAUUCCUUGUCGGGUAAGUUCCGACCUGCAUGAAUGGCGUAACGAUUUCUCCGCUGUCUCCAACAUCAACUCAGUGAAAUUGAAUUCUCCGUGAAGAUGCGGAGUUCGCGUAGUUAGACGGAAAGACCCCGUGCACCUUUACUGCAACUUUACAUUGGUGUUAGGAAAAACAUAUUUAGCAUAGGAGGGAGACUUUGAAGCAAAGGCGUCAGCUUUUGUGGAGUCACCAGUGAAAUACCUCUUUUGUUUUUCUUGACAUCUAACCGCUAGCCGUCAUCCGGCAGCGAGACAUUGUAUGGUGGGUAGUUUGACUGGGGCGGUCGCCUCCCAAAUAGUAACGGAGGCGUGCGAAGGUAGGCUCAGAACGGUCAGAAAUCGUUCGUAGAGUGCAAUGGCAUAAGCCUGCCUGACUGUGAGACUGACAAGUCGAGCAGAGACGAAAGUCGGUCAUAGUGAUCCGGUGGUUCUGAGUGGAAGGGCCAUCGCUCAACGGAUAAAAGGUACGCCGGGGAUAACAGGCUGAUA